GUGAAACUGCGAAUGGCUCAUUAUAUAAGUUAUCGUUUAUUUGAUAUUGCCUAUCCUACAUGGAUAACAGUGGUAAUUCUAGAGCUAAUACAUGCUGAAAAUCCCGACUUCGGAAGGGACGUAUUUAUUAGAAUCAGAACCAAUGCCCUUCGGGGUUUUCUGGUGACUCAUGAUAACUCCACAGAUCGCAUGGCCUUGCGCCGGCGAUGGCUCAUUCAAAUUUCUUCCCUAUCAACUUUCGACGGUACGGUCUUGGCCUACCGUGGUUGUAACGGGUGACGGAGGGUUAGGGCUCGACCCCGGAGAAGGAGCCUGAGAAACGGCUACUACAUCCAAGGAAGGCAGCAGGCGCGCAAAUUAUCCAAUCCCGACUCGGGGAGAUAGUGACAAUAAAUACCGAUACAGGGCUCUUUUGGGCCCUGUAAUUGGAAUGAGUACAAUUUAAACCUCUUAACGAGGAACAAUUGGAGGGCAAGUCUGGUGCCAGCAGCCGCGGUAAUUCCAGCUCCAAUAGCGUAUAUUAAAGUUGUUGUGGUUAAAAAGCUCGUAGUCGAACCUCGAGCCUGGCCGGCCGGUCCGCCUCACCGCGUGCACUGGUCUGGCCGGGCUCUUCCCUCUGCGGAACCGCAUGUCCUUCACUGGGCGUGUCGGGGAGGCAGGACUUUUACUUUGAAAAAAUUAGAGUGCUCAAGGCAGGCCAAUGCUCGAAUACAUUAGCAUGGAAUAAUAGAAUAGGACGUUGGUUCUAUUUUGUUGGUUUCUAGGACCGCCGUAAUGAUCAAUAGGGACGGUCGGGGGCAUCAGUAUUCAGCCGUCAGAGGUGAAAUUCUUGGACCGGCUGAAGACUAACUACUGCGAAAGCAUUUGCCAAGGACGUUUUCGCUGAUCACGAACGAAAGUUAGGGGAUCGAAGACGAUCAGAUACCGUCGUAGUCUUAACCAUAACUAUGCCGACUA
rnacentral:rRNA from 1 species